rnacentral:rRNA from 1 species
AACGAACGCUGGCGGCAUGCCUAACACAUGCAAGUCGAACGAGACCUUCGGGUCUAGUGGCGCACGGGUGCGUAACGCGUGGGAAUCUGCCCUUGGGUUCGGAAUAACUUCGGGAAACUGAAGCUAAUACCGGAUGAUGACGUAAGUCCAAAGAUUUAUCGCCCAAGGAUGAGCCCGCGUAGGAUUAGCUAGUUGGUGAGGUAAAGGCUCACCAAGGCGACGAUCCUUAGCUGGUCUGAGAGGAUGAUCAGCCACACUGGGACUGAGACACGGCCCAGACUCCUACGGGAGGCAGCAGUGGGAAUAUUGGACAAUGGGCGAAAGCCUGAUCCAGCAAUGCCGCGUGAGUGAUGAAGGCCUUAGGGUUGUAAAGCUCUUUUACCCGGGAUGAUAAUGACAGUACCGGGAGAAUAAGCUCCGGCUAACUCCGUGCCAGCAGCCGCGGUAAUGUGACUACUG